AGUGAACGCUGGCGGCGUGCCUAAUACAUGCAAGUCGAACGGACAAGUAAGAGCUUGCUCUUAUGAGUUAGUGGCGCACGGGUGAGUAAUGUAUAGCUAAUCUGCCCUACACUAGAGGACAACAGUUGGAAACGGCUGCUAAUACUCUAUACUCCUGUCUUACAUAAGUUAGAUAGGGAAAGUUUUUCGGUGUAGGAUGAGGCUAUAUUGUAUCAGCUAGUUGGUGAGGUAAUGGCUCACCAAGGCUAUGACGCAUAACUGGUCUGAGAGGAUGAUCAGUCACACUGGAACUGAGACACGGUCCAGACUCCUACGGGAGGCAGCAGUAGGGAAUAUUGCUCAAUGGGGGAAACCCUGAAGCAGCAACGCCGCGUGGAGGAUGACACUUUUCGGAGCGUAAACUCCUUUUGUUAGGGAA
rnacentral:rRNA from 1 species